GACCCGCACAAGCGGUGGAGUAUGUGGCUUAAUUCGAUGCAACGCGAAGAACCUUACCAGGGUUUGACAUCCUGCGAAUCUCUUGGAAACAGGAGAGUGCCUUCGGGAACGCAGUGACAGGUGGUGCAUGGCUGUCGUCAGCUCGUGUCGUGAGAUGUUGGGUUAAGUCCCGCAACGAGCGCAACCCACGUCUUUAGUUGCCAGCAUUAGUUUGGGCACUCUAGAGAGACUGCCGGUGAUAAACCGGAGAAGGUGUGGAUGACGUCAAGUCAUCAUGCCCCUUACAUCUGGGCUACACACGUACUACAAUGCUACGGACAAAGGGCAGCAAGUUCGCGAGGACAAGCAAAUCCCAUAAACGUGGCUCAGUUCAGA
rnacentral:rRNA from 1 species